GGCUGUUUCCGGUGCAUCGCUCAGGCCACGCCGUGUCUCUGGCGUCGGGAGCGGCUUGGGCUGUUGCUGCGCGCUGCCAGCAUGGGCCGAAGUGCCCACUCUCUCGGUCACGGAGCCCGAGCUGACCCAGUGCGGAGCUUCAAUCGCUGGAAGAAGAAGCACAGCCACCGGCAGAGCCAGAAGAAGGAGUUAAGGAGGCAGCGGAAGAAGCCGGAGUGGCAGGUCGAGCGCGAGGUGAUCGGCCGGCUCACGCAGAGCUACGAGACGAAGCUGCUCUUGGUUGGGUGAUUUCUACCAGCAAUGUGAACUGGACUGCAACAUCUUGAUUCCACAAUCACCCCUGCUACUUUGGAGCAGAACUAUAUCGUUUGUGAGCUACAGCAGAAAAUAAUUGUGUUGUAUUCCUUCUUGAGAAGCCACUUGAAGAACAAGAGUAUUGUCUUUUUCUCUAGCUGCAAACAGAAUUGGUGAAUCUUGGGUCUUCCCAGUAAUUUCUGCCAUCUGUACAAUAAGACGGAUUCUCCAAGUAAGGAGAGAAUGAACCAUUGCAAACAAACUCCAGACGCAUGUGUCACCUUG